GACGAACGCUGGCGGCGUGCCUAAUACAUGCAAGUAGAACGCACAGUUUAUACCGUAGCUUGCUACACCAUAGACUGUGAGUUGCGAACGGGUGAGUAACGCGUAGGUAACCUGCCUGGUAGCGGGUGAUAACUAUUGGAAACGAUAGCUAAUACCGCAUAAUAUUAAUUAUUGCAUGAUAAUUAAUUGAAAGGUGCAAUUGCACCACUACCAGAUGGACCUGCGUUGUAUUAGCUAGUAGGUGAGGUAACGGCUCACCUAGGCGACGAUACAUAGCCGACCUGGGAGGGGGAUCGGCCAAACUGGGAAUGAGACACGGCCCAGACCCCCUCGGGAGGGAGCAGUAGGGAAUCUUCGGCAAUGGACGAAAGUCUGACCGAGCAACGCCGGGUGAGGGAAGAAGGGUUUCGGAUCGGAAAGCUCUGUUGUAAGGGAAGAACGGGUGUGAGAGUGGAAAGUUCACACUGUGACGGUAUCUAACCAGAAAGGGACGGCUAACUACGUG
rnacentral:rRNA from 1 species